UACGUAGGGUGCAAGCGUUGUCCGGAAUUAUUGGGCGUAAAGAGCUCGUAGGCGGUCUGUCGCGUCUGCUGUGAAAACUCAGGGCUUAACCCUGAGCUUGCAGUGGGUACGGGCAGACUAGAGUGCGGUAGGGGAGACUGGAAUUCCUGGUGUAGCGGUGAAAUGCGCAGAUAUCAGGAGGAACACCGGUGGCGAAGGCGGGUCUCUGGGCCGUAACUGACGCUGGAGGAGCGAAAGCGUGGGUAGCAAACAGG
rnacentral:rRNA from 1 species